GCAGGCGACGCUUAUCAAUAGCGGCCCUGGCCUCCUCCCUCUGCUCUCUGUAACAUAACAGGCUGGCAGCGCCCAGAGAGGAUUUUGACUAUUCCAGUUUUAGUAAAAGGCUGGGGGAAAUCCAUAUAAGCAAGUCUAUUGUUCUUGGGGAGAAAAAGAGUAUGACUUUGGUGUAGAGAAAAGAGGACAGAAUCUGCAGAGGGACAGCUUCUCAACUCAUCUCUGCAGACCGGCUUGCUCUACUCUUCCUUUAUCAUGGCAGAAUGUGCUUGGCUCCCAGGCUGACAUGGUGCAGAUGCAGCCACACAUACCAACUGACUCACAAUCCGUCAGGGGCCCAAACUCAAGCUUUCAGGUCUCAGCUCAAAUACCACCUCCUUGGAGAAAUCUCUGCUGACCACACUUGCUGAACUGACAGCCAGCUCCUCCCCUGCCCUUCUCUGAUAUGGGAUGAAUUGUGUCCCUCUCUCUUUGCAAAAACAUUUAUGUCAGUACCAUCCGAGCCCCGGAUACGUCAGAAUGUGACUGUUUUUGGAGAUAGGGCCUUUAAGGGGGCAAUUAAGUUAAAAUGAGGUCUUAAUCUAAUACGAAUGUGUCCUUCUAACAAGAGGAGAUUAGGACACAGACAGGCAUAUAAGAAAGACCAUGUGAAGAUAUAGAGAGACGUAAAAGCCAAGGAGAGAGGCCUCAGAAGAAACCCACCCUUCCAACAUCUGAUCUUGGACUUCUGGCCUCCAGAAUUGGGAGAAAAUAAAUUUCUGUUAUUUAAGUUACUCAGUUCCUG
rnacentral:lncRNA from 1 species